rnacentral:lncRNA from 1 species
UUGGUUUGGCUCCACUGCAUGCAGGAGUUCAAAUUCCAGUGAUUAAUUGUAUUGACAGUGCUUUUAAUGUACAACUCUAAGUGGGAUCAUCAUCUUGUCAGAGUUACCAUGCCAUUUUUCGGUUUCUUUUUCUUUACAUACUGGCAGUGCGUAUAGUUUUUAACUUUUAGAAUAGUUUUUAGUGGUGGAUGAUUUAAUUUAUAUUUAAAUUAACUUUUAUGUACACGUCUUUGAUAUCAGUGACUUUUUAAAUCCUUUUAAUUAUUAUGCAAAAAAUUAUACGUCAUCAUUUUUAUGAAUAGGAUCCAUAUAAUUUUUAUCUUGUUUACAUACAUAUAUUAUGUAUGUAUAUAUUUUUUUUGCAAAUUUAUGCACAUAUUUCUAAAAAAAAACAAAAUACGACUCAAUCUCUUUCUUUGUGUAAGGAUAGCUUGCAAACCAAUUUGAGGAAUCAGCAUAACGUUUGUUGUUAUGGAAAGAAAAUAGUAAAUUAUUCAUUUGUACUAUUUGUGGAGUUGUAUAAAAUAUGAUUUAGAACACUUAGACAAUUUCUGGAUCAGGGACCUCAUACAUUAAAAAAAGCAAAAAUCACGUCUGCGGCAACGGAGAAGAUAAGCUUAGCUAUCAUUAUUGAGUUGUAUAAAAUAUAGCUUAAUCUGACCAUUUUUUUUUUCUAGCAACAAGGUCGAGGAAUCCUUUAACCCUUUUGGCUCAUACAAAACCUCGGGACCUGAUGAACUGAACCCAGUUGUACUGCAACAACUUGGGGACAGCAUCGUCACCUAUAUCUCAGAACUUUAUAAAGUCAUCUCAUCACUAGUUAUACAUCCAGAUGCUGGAGAGAAAUGAAUUAGAAAUGGAUGGCAAAGUGAUGGAAUAUGCCACACAUUUGAUGUACCUAGGUGCGACUUUUGAUCAAAGACUCACCUGGACAGAGCAUUUGAAAAGAAAAAAGCCUCCAAGUGUUCUCGGAUAUGGAAUAUUGGCAAGGCGAUCAUAAGGCAUAAAUAGGGACUGACAUCAGACAAGGUUAUCUGGUUGAAUGAAGGUAUGAUCAGAACUAUCAUCUCCUAUGGGUGUCUAGUAUUGGGACAUGUAAUCAUUACAAAGAAAAGUGCAAGGAAUAUAUUAAACACAAUUCAAAGGAAAGCACUCAUUGCAAUUACUCAUACAUCUGAUCGACACCAACCCACGGGAAUGGAGGGAGUUUUGGGUAUUGCUCCUCUGGACAUAUACAUUAUGGAACAGACAACGAAAUCAAGAUGGAGAACAAAGCAUUUCUUAUGUGAUACCUAGGAUGGAAUUGGUAAAACGUCGUGGGCAUCGGUUCCAUAGUGAUAAAAUACUCAUACAAGUCGGAAUGGAUCAACCAAGUGACUCCAUAAAAAGUAAUCGCAUUUGGAUAGAUAAUAGUCAGAAUAAGAUCAUCUAAACGGACAGGUCUAAAGACGGAGAUGAAAACACUGGGGAUUGAUGGCCCAUCACCAAAGGCGAUGCAUCAAUU